rnacentral:rRNA from 1 species
CAGCAGUCGCCGCGGUAAUACAGAGGGUGCAAGCGUUAAUCGGAAUUACUGGGCGUAAAGCGCGCGUAGGUGGUUUGUUAAGUCGGAUGUGAAAUCCCCGGGCUCAACCUGGGAACUGCAUCCGAAACUGGCAAGCUAGAGUAUGGUAGAGGGUAGUGGAAUUUCCUGUGUAGCGGUGAAAUGCGUAGAUAUAGGAAGGAACACCAGUGGCGAAGGCGACCACCUGGGCUCAUACUGACACUGAGGUGCGAAAGCGUGGGGAGCAAACAGGAUUAGAUACCCCGGUAGUCCCUGUCUCUUAUAC